rnacentral:pre_miRNA from 1 species
UUGAUACUCCCUCCGUCCAGAAUUACUUGUCAUCAAAAUGGAUGAAAAUGGAUGUAUCUAGAACUAAAAUACAUCUAGAUACAUCCAUUUCAAUGACGAGUAUUUCCGGACAGAGGGAGUAUUAC